CGCACGUAGCACCAGUGGCGUAACUUGUGGUAAAGGCCUACCCGUUUAAAGUAGCGAGUGUGGGCGGGGGCUACGUCAAGAACAUGCAAAAUUUCCUGAACUUCAUCAGUUUCGCCAUUUUUUGAGCCAAGCGCCUAAAGGAGUUACGCCACUGCUUAGCACAAAACGUUUAAUUCGUCCAGAUACCUAACACGUGUUCUAGUAUAAUAAAUACGACCAUUAUUUUUGGGAUAUUUUAGAAAUUUACUCUUGGGUACAGAACCUUAAUCCUGGAAAUAGCCUUGCCCUCCUGUCCAAAAUAACCUGUCCUCGUAUAACGGUUAUCAAUACGUAUGUACAGUAUAUCGAGUAAUAUUUGCAUAAGGAGUAUAUGUAUGGCCUGGUAAUAUAAGCAUAAGGAGUAUAGGCAUGGCCCGGUAAUAUAAGCAUAAGGAGUAUAGGCAUGGCCCGGUAAAAUGGGAAGACGAG